rfam:Triticum urartu cultivar G1812 contig486296, whole genome shotgun sequence.
GAACUACUCCCUCCGUUCGGAAUUACUGGUCUCAGAAAUGGAUGUAUCUAGAACUAAAAUACGUCUAGAUACAUCUAUUUCUGUGACAAGUAAUUCCAAACGAAGGGAGUACCUA